rnacentral:sRNA from 1 species
GAUAAAAAGAGACCGAACACGAUUCCUGUAUUCGGUCCAGGGAAAUGGCUCUUGGGAGAGAGCCGUGCGCUAAAAGUUGGCAUUAAUGCAGGCUUAGUUGCCUUGCCCUUUAAGAAUAGAUGACGACGCCAGGUUUUCCAGU